UAGAUAACCGCUGAAAGCAUCUAAGCGGGAAACUAGCCUCAAGAUGAGAUCUCACUGGGAACUUGAUUCCCCUGAAGGGCCGUCGAAGACUACGACGUUGAUAGGUCGGGUGUGUAAGCGCUGUGAGGCGUUGAGCUAACCGAUACUAAUUGCCCGUGAGGCUUGACCAUAUAACACCCAAACAAUU
rnacentral:rRNA from 1 species